rnacentral:rRNA from 1 species
AUUGAACGCUGGCGGCAGGCCUAACACAUGCAAGUCGAACGAGUGGCGGACGGGUGAGUAAUGUCUGGGAAACUGCCUGAUGGAGGGGGAUAACUACUGGAAACGGUAGCUAAUACCGCAUACCAUCGGAUGUGCCCAGAUGGGAUUAGCUAGUAGGUGGGGUAAAGGCUCACCUAGGCGACGAUCCCUAGCUGGUCUGAGAGGAUGACCGCGCACACUGGAACUGAGACACGGUCCAGACGCCUACGGGAGGCAGCAGUGGGGAAUAUGGCACAAUGGGCGCAAGCCCUAUGCAGCCAUGCCGCGGGUCUGAAGAAGGCCUUCGGGUUGUAAAGUACUUUCAGCGGGGAGGCGUGACCCGCAGAAGAAGCACCGGCUAACUCCGUGCCAGCCGCCGCGGUAAUUC